AGGGCCUUAGGAUCCCCCCGGAGGAAAUGGUUCCCUCCUGGCCAGAGGAGGAACACGACACAGUCCUCGGAAUGACUGCAUAGACUCCUGGUUCCAUGUUCGUCUCCUGAAUCAGACCCUCUGGGGAGGUUGCCUGGGAAUCUGCAUUGAGACAAGAGCCCUUGGUGACCCUUCUGAGUUUUAUGGUUUCAUUACCACAUGUACACAAGCUGUCUGUCUAUUCAUUUUCUUCGCUGUGGAGCCUGGCGUUGGGAUUGGUGACUCCGGUGACCGGCCGGGCCGCUCUUUCUACAACAGCUCUGUGGUUCUUGGAGGAGACAUUGUGAGCACGUGCUUUGCUUUCUUGUUGCUGCCGUAACCAGUGUUGGGCAUUGAGAUCUGCCCCUUGACUCUUCUGCGCACCCUGAUGUCAAUGCCUCUGGGUUUCCGCGAGUUGUGUUUAAUUUUAACAUAUCAGUCUGACUGGUGUCUGAUGAACUUUUUGGUCCGCCAAUGAUCUGGGGCUUCACCAGAGGUCUGAGGGCGAGCCAUGAUGCCGAGUAGGAGAUGGCUGCCACCUCCGUAGGCGGCACCGAGGAAGACAGUGAUCAUAUUUUCUUAGUAGUAUUGCUUCAGAGAGAAAUGAUACUGCUUUCACCUUUAGCCUCAGCUCUUAUAAAUUAAAUUUGCCUGCAGUUGUUGAA